rnacentral:lncRNA from 1 species
AUAGCUUCUGUAAUGGAGAGACCCGACAUGAAACCGAACUGAUUCAUAGAUAUAGAUGUCAUCUCCCUCACCCUCACCUCGAUCACCCGCUCCCAGACCUUCAUGGUGUGACUUAUUAAUUUGAUACCCCUAUAUGGACAAGGGCACCACUGUACUCCACCUCCACUCCUCCGGCAUCCCUUUGGUCCUGAAGAUCGCAUUGAACAACCUGGAGAGCCACUUCACUCUUGACCUACCCAUGCAUUUCCAGAACU